AUCUGAAGAAGGUGCUUGACAAAAGUGUGCAUAAAGUUGAUCUGAAACCUCAUGGAUCAGUGGAAGUGACCGUGAAACUCCCAGAAGACCCUGCGAUCAAGAAGACCAAACCACCAGUGCUUCCAAAACCCACCCCCGAGAGAUGCCUGCCCCUCAGAUCACUGCCCGCUCCAGCCAGACAGGUCAUUUCAGAUCAUUAACCACUAGCAUUGAUAUUAGACUACACGUUUCCUGAUUCUCGUCUCUUUUGAAAGAACGUGGAAGCAAUUGGACAUAUUUGCCAGUUGCAUAAACAUAGAAACUAUGUUAAGACUGUGUCUUAAGAACUAGUUAACCAAGUGUUAAUCAAUCUUACUUUUCAGAUUCAGGAGAUACUUUUUAUGUAACUGACUUUACAAUGAGCAAUCUUUUGAACUCUCAAACAAUUCGAUGAUCUUUUAAGACUAAUCUGCGCAGUUUAUGCAACCAGCACCUGAUCUUGAGUGAUAUUUGUUAUUUUCUGUUUUACUCACACACUUCCUCCUCGUCACACAAAGGUGUCUCCCGUCAGAAAGCCUGCAACAGCAAUUACAGCUCAUAAAGGUUGGGCUGUAAUGCUUUUCACUCCUAGUGUUUAAAACAACAAUCACUGAUUUCAAAACUUUUACAACGACACUUUGGACAUGUGUACAUAUUUGUUCAUUACACAGAAGAUGAGGAGGAUUCAGAAAUACCAGAUCUUCUCAUUAACACCUCUGGUUCAGUUGAGAAGGAAACCCUUCAGAUGUAUUUUGAGCAGUUCACAGAGCAGUUUGAGCUAGCUAAGCACGGGAAUAACAGCUGGAUCCUGAAGCUCUGGAGCCAGUCAGAUUUAGAGGAGAUUUUGGGCCAGAAAGAGCACGGGUUUGGUAUAACGUUAGCAGUGUAUAAAGGAGGAGGUCUGGGAGAGCAGCUGGACCCGCGCCGCUUCAUCUUGACUGGCUUUGAUGGAGCCACAGACUGCAGGAUGAUCUCAGUGUUCAUCGGCAGCUGUAGCAAGACCACAGAGCACACCUGGGAGACGCUUGAUGCGGACAGGAUCGUUGUCACCUUCAAACACGAUAUCGAUGUGACGUCAUUUCUACGGAAAUGCACCUCGAGGCAGCUGCAGGGUCGAGACAUCGGAGUGACCCGUGUGGAGCGGACGGACUCGGUUCUGGUCCAGGGAGACUUGGAGAAGCUCACUGAAGAUGUUCUCACACUUUACUUCAGCAACAAGAAGAGGAGCGGAGGAGGAGACGUCCAGUCCUUCAUCUGGAUCAACAGACGAAAGAGUGCGGCCAUCACCUUCGGAAACUGUGACGAUGCGCAUGCAGUGGUGGAACAAACACACAAUGUUUGCGGCACAGAAGUUCACGCUUCACUGUUCUACUCAAGUUUACAAAAGGCUUUAACUGGAGAAAAACCAACCCUGAC
rnacentral:lncRNA from 1 species